GUGCCAGCAGCCGCGGUAAUACGUAGGGUGCGAGCGUUGUCCGGAAUUAUUGGGCGUAAAGAGCUCGUAGGCGGUUUGUCGCGUCGGCCGUGAAAACCUGCAGCUUAACUGUGGGCGUGCGGUCGAUACGGGCAGACUUGAGUUCGGUAGGGGAGACUGGAAUUCCUGGUGUAGCGGUGGAAUGCGCAGAUAUCAGGAGGAACACCGGUGGCGAARGCGGGUCUCUGGGCCGAUACUGACGCUGAGGAGCGAAAGCGUGGGGAGCGAACAGGAUUAGAUACCCUGGUAGUCC
rnacentral:rRNA from 1 species